UGUUUCUCAUGUUUUCAGAGCAGAAGAAGCAGUGGAAAUGCUGAAGACCUUUUUAUAAACAGGAGAACCCAAAUGCCCCCAAGCCCAAGACAAGGAAGGAGUGAGAUACUGUUGAUGUCCAGCAGGGGGCAAUAUUCGUUAAGUAAUGAGCAUAGUUUGGAUGGACAGUGGACACUAUCCAUGGCCUGUAAAGUGCCUUGCUGCUAUAACAGCCUCUACUCUUCUGGGAAGGCUAGAUGUUGGAACAUUUCUGUGGGGACUUCCAUUCAGCCACAAGAGCAUU